UCAAACAAGUGGAUUCAUCUGACUCUGGGCUUUAUUUCUGUGGUGAGGACAGUUAUGAAAAGUUUAUAGUUUAUGGUGCAACAACUUUAAAGGUUCAAGAAGGUAGAUCACAAAAUCCAUCCAGUAUGAUCCUGGGCAGUUUAACUGUUUUCCUUCUACUGGUCAUCAUCGGUCUGAUUGUCAAGAUCAGGAAAUUUUAUACAGCUCAAGAUGAUGGACAGAAU